GGAUUCCGUGUGCUUAGUCCUUGCAAAUUCAGGGAGAACAACUGCAUCCCAGAGCUGUUUGCAGGAGUAUAAUUUGGCCUCUACUGCUGUAAAACCAGUGAGCUUAGUCUGGAUAAUUUGGGGUUGGAAUAUCCUCUAUGCAUGUUUUCCAGUGGAAUUUACUCCUUAAGUCUGCACAGUAUUCCACAGAGCAGCUGUCCACAGCAAGAAACUCAUCAUUCACUCUCUGAUCAGCACAU